UCCGCGUGAGCUUCUAUAAAGAGAGCACUUGAGCCUGUUAUCAUGGCAGGCCUCACAAGCGCUGCGUGCUCACUCGCUAAUGAGCACUCAGGCCAAACAUGGUCCAAACGUACAAUUUGACAUUUUACAUCAGGGGUGUCCAAACUUGGUCCUCAAGGGCCACUGUCCUGCCUGUUUUCCUGCUCUCCCAGGAGCAACGCACCUAAUUCAAAUCAUCAGGAUGCUUCAGAGCUGACUGACGAGCUGAUCAUCUGGAUCAGGUGUGUUGCAGCCGCGACAGCUGGAAAACAGGCAGCACAAUGGCCCUCCAGGCCCAGAGCUGGACGUGCAUGCUUAACACGAUGUCAUUCUAUCAUGUACGUUUUAAAAUAGUUUUGGUUUGCGACAAAACAUUGAGGUAAACGUUGGAUUCCGAUUGAUUUCAAUGUGAAGCGGUUAAAAAAAAAAGAAUGAUGUUGACUCUGUUUCGUUGUUGUUUGAGGAAACUCAUCACGCGUUGACAGCCGGAGACGCUAAUUGUCAAACGACCGCAGACUUGGACGACGCCACAAACGUUCAACAGCAAGCGUGUGACCAUCUGGGUGUGAGUCGUGACUUACGCGAGCUCCUUUGGAGUGUUUUCAUGUUGUUUUAGUGUUAGUUGCGAGGCUGAAAGUGCAUUGGUGACUGUGACUCUUUGCCAUUUCACAACCUCAAUUUCUCUGCUCUUUUUCUCAUUCAACCCAACAAUUGAGGAAUUUGAAAAAGUCGUGCAAGCGUCAACUCUGAACCAAAAAGAAGUUGAGGUACCACCAAACAAGUAAAUUGAGGUCAGUGCAUGACUACAAAUCCUAAAUCAAGUUGCCUCCAGUCUCGAUUGCCCUGAGUGUACCCAAUGGAGUGGACGGCUGUUGGACACCCUCAGCGUGCUCCACCAGACGAGUGUUGGCAUGCGAAACGUUUGACGGUGGACGAAGGGGAUGAAUCACUGAGCAGGUAGACCUUUUCUCCCAAAAUAUCCUGAAGGGCAGAUGAACAAAGGAGCCCACCUGCUCGGAGGGAGCAUCGCGCGCCUAUCUGGUCAGGUAAGCGUCUUAAACCAGUUGGUGAAAUCAUGUAGGAACACCGAUGAUUGUAUUAGAUGAAUAAAUAUAAAUUCUCCGAACAGGCUUGUGGCCAUUUUCAGACAUAUCAAUGACAAAUGUGCUCAUUUUAAAAAAAUGUGGAGGGAUCUACUUUAAUAUUAUUGU